rnacentral:rRNA from 1 species
GAUGAACGCUGGCGGCGUGCCUAAUACAUGCAGGUCGAGCGAACGGACGAGAAGCUUGCUUCUCUGAUGUUAGCGGCGGACGGGUGAGUAACACGUGGAUAACCUACCUAUAAGACUGGGAUAACUUCGGGAAACCGGAGCUAAUACCGGAUAAUAUUUUGAACCGCAUGGUUCAAAAGUGAAAGACGGUCUUGCUGUCACUUAUAGAUGGAUCCGCGCUGCAUUAGCUAGUUGGUAAGGUAACGGCUUACCAAGGCAACGAUGCAUAGCCGACCUGAGAGGGUGAUCGGCCACACUGAAACUGAGACACGGUCCAGACUCCUACGGGAGGCAGCAGUAGGGAAUCUUCCGCAAUGGGCGAAAGCCUGACGGAGCAACGCCGCGUGAGUGAUGAAGGUCUUCGGAUCGUAAAACUCUGUUAUUAGGGAAGAACAUAUGUGUAAGUAACUGUGCACAUCUUGACGGUACCUAAUCAGAAAGCCACGGCUAACUACGUGCCAGCAGCCGCGGUAAUACGUAGGUGGCAAGCGUUAUCCGGAAUUAUUGGGCGUAAAGCGCGCGUAGGCGGUUUUUUUAAGUCUGAUGUGAAAGCCCACGGCUCAACCGUGGAGGGUCAUUGGAAACUGGAAAACUUGAGUGCAGAAGAGGAAAGUGGAAUUCCAUGUGUAGCGGUGAAAUGCGCAGAGAUAUGGAGGAACACCAGUGGCGAAGGCGACUUUCUGGUCUGUAACUGACGCUGAUGUGCGAAAGCGUGGGGAUCAAACAGGAUUAGAUACCCUGGUAGUCCACGCCGUAAACGAUGAGUGCUAAGUGUUAGGGGGUUUCCGCCCCUUAGUGCUGCAGCUAACGCAUUAAGCACUCCGCCUGGGGAGUACGACCGCAAGGUUGAAACUCAAAGGAAUUGACGGGGACCCGCACAAGCGGUGGAGCAUGUGGUUUAAUUCGAAGCAACGCGAAGAACCUUACCAAAUCUUGACAUCCUUUGACAACUCUAGAGAUAGAGCCUUCCCCUUCGGGGGACAAAGUGACAGGUGGUGCAUGGUUGUCGUCAGCUCGUGUCGUGAGAUGUUGGGUUAAGUCCCGCAACGAGCGCAACCCUUAAGCUUAGUUGCCAUCAUUAAGUUGGGCACUCUAAGUUGACUGCCGGUGACAAACCGGAGGAAGGUGGGGAUGACGUCAAAUCAUCAUGCCCCUUAUGAUUUGGGCUACACACGUGCUACAAUGGACAAUACAAAGGGCAGCGAAACCGCGAGGUCAAGCAAAUCCCAUAAAGUUGUUCUCAGUUCGGAUUGUAGUCUGCAACUCGACUACAUGAAGCUGGAAUCGCUAGUAAUCGUAGAUCAGCAUGCUACGGUGAAUACGUUCCCGGGUCU